rnacentral:rRNA from 1 species
UGUGUGUUAGUGGAAGCGUCUGGAAAGGCGCGCGAUACAGGGUGACAGCCCCGUACACAAAAAUGCACAUGCUGUGAGCUCGAUGAGUAGGGCGGGACACGUGGUAUCCUGUCUGAAUAUGGGGGGACCAUCCUCCAAGGCUAAAUACUCCUGACUGACCGAUAGUGAACCAGUACCGUGAGGGAAAGGCGAAAAGAACCCCGGCGAGGGGAGUGAAAAAGAACCUGAAACCGUGUACGUACAAGCAGUGGGAGCACGCUUAGGCGUGUGACUGCGUACCUUUUGUAUAAUGGGUCAGCGACUUAUAUUCUGUAGCAAGGUUAACCGAAUAGGGGAGCCGAAGGGAAACCGAGUCUUAACUGGGCGUUAAGUUGCAGGGUAUAGACCCGAAACCCGGUGAUCUAGCCAUGGGCAGGUUGAAGGUUGGGUAACACUAACUGGAGGACCGAACCGACUAAUGUUGAAAAAUUAGCGGAUGACUUGUGGCUGGGGGUGAAAGGCCAAUCAAACCGGGAGAUAGCUGGUUCUCCCCGAAAGCUAUUUAGGUAGCGCCUCGUGAAUUCAUCUCCGGGGGUAGAGCACUGUUUCGGCAAGGGGGUCAUCCCGACUUACCAACCCGAUGCAAACUGCGAAUACCGGAGAAUGUUAUCACGGGAGACACACGGCGGGUGCUAACGUCCGUCGUGAAGAGGGAAACAACCCAGACCGCCAGCUAAGGUCCCAAAGUCAUGGUUAAGUGGGAAACGAUGUGGGAAGGCCCAGACAGCCAGGAUGUUGGCUUAGAAGCAGCCAUCAUUUAAAGAAAGCGUAAUAGCUCACUGGUCGAGUCGGCCUGCGCGGAAGAUGUAACGGGGCUAAACCAUGCACCGAAGCUGCGGCAGCGACGCUUAUGCGUUGUUGGGUAGGGGAGCGUUCUGUAAGCCUGUGAAGGUGUGCUGUGAGGCAUGCUGGAGGUAUCAGAAGUGCGAAUGCUGACAUAAGUAACGAUAAAGCGGGUGAAAAGCCCGCUCGCCGGAAGACCAAGGGUUCCUGUCCAACGUUAAUCGGGGCAGGGUGAGUCGACCCCUAAGGCGAGGCCGAAAGGCGUAGUCGAUGGGAAACAGGUUAAUAUUCCUGUACUUGGUGUUACUGCGAAGGGGGGACGGAGAAGGCUAUGUUGGCCGGGCGACGGUUGUCCCGGUUUAAGCGUGUAGGCUGGUUUUCCAGGCAAAUCCGGAAAAUCAAGGCUGAGGCGUGAUGACGAGGCACUACGGUGCUGAAGCAACAAAUGCCCUGCUUCCAGGAAAAGCCUCUAAGCAUCAGGUAACAUCAAAUCGUACCCCAAACCGACACAGGUGGUCAGGUAGAGAAUACCAAGGCGCUUGAGAGAACUCGGGUGAAGGAACUAGGCAAAAUGGUGCCGUAACUUCGGGAGAAGGCA